rnacentral:rRNA from 1 species
AGAGUUUGAUCCUGGCUCAGGACGAACGCUGGCGGCGUGCCUAAUACAUGCAAGUCGUGCGGACCUUUUAAAAGCUUGCUUUUAAAAGGUUAGCGGCGGACGGGUGAGUAACACGUGGGCAACCUGCCUGUAAGAUUGGGAUAACGCCGGGAAACCGGGGCUAAUACCGGAUAGUUUUUUCCUCCGCAUGGAGGAAAAAGGAAAGACGGCUUCUGCUGUCACUUACAGAUGGGCCCGCGGCGCAUUAGCUAGUUGGUGGGGUAACGGCCCACCAAGGCAACGAUGCGUAGCCGACCUGAGAGGGUGAUCGGCCACAUUGGGACUGAGACACGGCCCAAACUCCUACGGGAGGCAGCAGUAGGGAAUCUUCCGCAAUGGACGAAAGUCUGACGGAGCAACGCCGCGUGAGUGAAGAAGGCCUUCGGGUCGUAAAACUCUGUUGCCGGGGAAGAACAAGUGCCGUUCGAACAGGGCGGCGCCUUGACGGUACCCGGCCAGAAAGCCACGGCUAACUACGUGCCAGCAGCCGCGGUAAUACGUAGGUGGCAAGCGUUGUCCGGAAUUAUUGGGCGUAAAGCGCGCGCAGGCGGCUUCUUAAGUCUGAUGUGAAAUCUUGCGGCUCAACCGCAAGCGGUCAUUGGAAACUGGGAGGCUUGAGUGCAGAAGAGGAGAGUGGAAUUCCACGUGUAGCGGUGAAAUGCGUAGAGAUGUGGAGGAACACCAGUGGCGAAGGCGGCUCUCUGGUCUGUAACUGACGCUGAGGCGCGAAAGCGUGGGGAGCAAACAGGAUUAGAUACCCUGGUAGUCCACGCCGUAAAC